UGCAAUUUAAUUUCGAUACGCAAAACUAAAAGAAUAAUAAUGCUUCAUUUAAUUGUUUAAUUCAGUUUCAUAUCUGUAAAUUAUAUUCAAAUAAAGCAGCAGAUAUAAAGAGUUAGUAGAUUUUUUCCACGAUUUAAUAUUUUAUCAAAUAAUACGUUCUUUUGUGAUUUGAUAUAAUUUUUUACUAUAUGGCAAACUUUUUUUAUGUACAGGCUACCUACCACACCCUGCAGCACAAUACUAUAACUAUAUGACUUCAGGUGUUGCUUUCGAAGGGGCUCAUACGGUGGUGUUUACCGACUUAGCUCUUAAACGUCUAGAAUGUAUAAAGGGCGAAGAACGUACUUUUUGGCUCUCUGAAGGACAAUAUACUCAUGCGUAUGAUGAGACGGAUACUUGGAUACUUGGAAACAGCUUCCGAGAUCCUUUCGUGCUACCCCACAGUGAUCUACUGGCGAAAUAACUCUGAAACGUCAGUUACCCGAUACAAUAACGGAGUGGGUAGGAAAAGCAGUAUGCAUUAACUCCAAGAAUGGACUCAGCAUUUCAGACACAAGCAGCAUUAUUGCUUUCCAGCCCUUUUUGCUUUCUCUCCAGAUGCCCGAUUCUGCAGCAAGAGGAGAAAUCGUGUCUAUAAUCGCCUCUGUCUUCAAUUACAUGCCAGAAUGUCUGCCGGUAAAAAUCAUAUUGGAGGAAAGCGUGGGUUAUGAACUCAUUUCGGAGCAACAGUCCAGCACGAUGUGCGUGUGUGAGAAUAAAAGUAAAAUACAGCGUUUCAGGCUCCGUCCGAUAAGUCUUGGUCAAGUGAAUAUAAUUGUACACGGAUUUUCAGUAGAUGAUGAGAGUAGAAUUUGUGGCAACAGAACCACUGCAAGAUUUAAUGCCACAGAUGUUGUUUUCAAGAAGCUUUUUGUUGAGAGAGAAAACGCUUCUGUAGAAAGGCGAUAUCAUUACAGCACCUCAACAGGAAUAUCUCACAAGUGAAGAAAAUCUGGAUGAAUGCGCUUCAGAAAACGGUGGUUGCGGCCAUGUUUGUGAAAAUGCAAUCGGCAGUUAUCAUUGCAGCUGUCACCAUGGUUUCUUGCUUGAUUCUAACGGACGAGAUUGCAAAGAAGAACCUUGUGAAUAUCUUGUGUCUUCGACUGAAGAAGUUGCUUCCAGCCCGAACUUUCCAAAUAAUUAUCCGAAUGGGAUGAAAUGUACAUGGAAAUUCGAAACUAUUCCAGGAUAUAGAAUCAAGCUGCUUGAGACUUUAUGAUGGAAACUCUAUCCAUGCGCCGUUGCUGGCAAGGUUCUGUGGCUCCAAGAUUCCUCAACCAGUUACAUCCACUACCCAGACUUUGCUUAUGGUAUUUGAAUCCGAUUCAUCUGUACAGAAACAAGGAUUCCGUGCUUUGCAUUCCACUGAUUCCGCCGGAGGUUAUAUCUUCUGGAAAUCGUCUCUUCAUCCACUUCCAUUCUGACGAUUCAAUUGAAGCAAAAGGAUUUGCUUUGGCCUAUUCAGAAAUCAUCAUGACUGAUCAUGACCUGACUGAUCAUUUGCACCUUCUAUGAAAGAUCAAAUUAGAACGGUCAAUUCAGAAAAUUUGUAAAACUUGUGUGAUGUGAAUAAUAAAUGUUACUUUGGAAAA